rnacentral:rRNA from 1 species
GACGAACGCUGGCGGCGUGCUUAACACAUGCAAGUCGAACGAUGAAGCCGGAGCUUGCUCUGGUGAAUUAGUGGCGAACGGGUGAGUAACACGUGAGUAACCUGCCCUUGACUCUGGGAUAACUGCGGGAAACUGUAGCUAAUACCGGAUACGACCCUCGGAGGCAUCUCCUGGGGGUGGAAAGAAUUUCGGUCAAGGAUGGACUCGCGGCCUAUCGGCUAGUUGGUGAGGUAAAGGCUCACCAAGGCGACGACGGGUAGCCGGCCUGAGAGGGGGACCGGCGACACGGGGACUGAGACACGGCCCAGACUCCUACGGGAGGCAGCAGUGGGGAAUAUUGCACAAUGGGCGCAAGCCUGAUGCAGCAACGCCGCGUGAGGGAUGACGGCCUUCGGGUUGUAAACCUCUUUUAGCAGGGAAGAAGCGAAAGUGACGGUACCUGCAGAAAAAGCACCGGCUAACUACGUGCCAGCCGCCGCCGUAA